rnacentral:rRNA from 1 species
GACGAACGCUGGCGGCGUGCCUAAUACAUGCAAGUCGAGCGAGCGGAACUAACAGAUUUACUUCUGUAAUGACGUUAGGAAAGCGAGCGGCGGAUGGGUGAGUAACACGUGGGGAACCUGCCCCAUAGUCUGGGAUACCACUUGGAAACAGGUGCUAAUACCGGAUAAGAAAGCAGAUCUCAUGAUCAGCUUUUAAAAUGCGGCGUAAGCUGUCGCUAUGGGAUGGCCCCGCGGUGCAUUAGCUAGUUGGUAAGGUAAAGGCUUACCAAGGCGAUGAUGCAUAGCGGAGUCGAGAGAGUGAUAGGCCACAUUGGGACUGAGACACGGCACAAACUCCUACGGGAGGCAGCAGUAGGGAAUCUUCCACAAUGGACGCAAGUCAGAUGGAGCAACGCCGCGUGAGUGAAGAAGGUUUUCGGAUCGUAAAGCUCUGUUGUUGGUGAAGAAGGAGAGAGGUAGUAACUGGCCUUUAUUUGACGGUAAUCAACCAGAAAGUCACGGCUAACUACGUG